CUGGGCUUCUCUCUGUGCAGCCUCCCUCCACUGGGUUUUCCAGAGGCUUCCAAUGCACACAGGGUACUGGCCGCUGUCUCCACCCACCUCCCCUCCUCUUCCUAAUUCCAGGAUUUCUCUCAUGAGAAGAGGGUCUCUUGAAAUUGUCUCCCACUCAUGAGCCAGUUAAAAUGAUUAGAAAACGAGCUAGAGCUGCAGCCCCUUGUCUAUCCGGACCCUCAGGACCCCACACCUGGUCCUUGUACUGACCCAUUUGCAGCAAGACCCAUUUCCUGCAACCAUGAGCCCCUGAUGGGUGAGAGUUGGCUGCCCAGCUGUUCCCAGGUGCUGAGUUGAGGUCUGUCUAAAUAGCCCCUCCGGGCAGCAAGAGUACCUGCAGCUGUACCCGAGGGCACACUUUCUGCCCUGUUAGCCGCUGUGGGCCGGGGCUGUGUGGAGGGAGUGAGGAGCCAUGGCCUGCGGGUGGGCCAGCCUGAGUGGCCUCUGCUGGCCCUUCCACAGGAAUCGCCAGGCCACGACCUGCUAAGGAAGAGCACCCGAAUCUGCCCUGGGAAGUCCUCCCCAGGCAGAGGUGAGGAAGCAAGAAAAAAGGCAGAGAGGGCUCAGACAGAAGGAGUUACUCAGGACCCUGACAUUGGGUUUAGGGCCACUCUAGCCCACAAUGACCUCGUCUCAGGACCCUCAUCCACACCCGCAAAGGCCCUUUCCUAGAGAAGACCAAGGUGCUGUGCUGACGGGCACAGACGCAGCCACGGGCGUGCGGGUCUGGGGAGAAUGAGGACCCUGGAAGCACCUGGAAAGGAGCAAGGCCUGGCUGCGUCGGAAGCUGAGCGCUUCCACCACGUCCCGUGAGAACCGCCACUUCACCCUGUCGGUGGAGAGGAGCCCAGCGCCGAGUCCGGGAGAGGCUACCUUGCAGAGCCGGCCCCUCUGGGAGUCCAUCCUCGGUGGCAUCAGGCGACUGAUGACUACGGGCUUCAAGGCAUCACUUUCCGGCAGGUGAUGACGGCACUGUCCCUUUAGGCUCAGCAAGACUAGAAUGGGGGGUUGGAAGGAGACGCGUUUGGGAGCGUGUGAAGCUGGUUGUCAAGGAAACGUCCCCUUUAAGCUGAAGGCAGACCUUGGGGAGUUGGACUCCAGGCACCUUUUAAAGGGGCUGCCCUGAAGCACCCUGACCUGAGAGGUGGUCUCGGCACAGGCUGUGGUUUGAGGGAAGUGUGACAAGAUGAAGCCUUCCUUUCUGUUCCUGAUGGGGAGGGUUUUACAGGCACUUCAGCUUUCAGGGCGAAUGUUUGUUACUGGAACAAAGUGCCGUGUCCUGAAAUGGGCUCAAGCUCAAGAUGUCUCUGCCCCCUUCAUGGGAGGGUCCAGGGCGGGGGGUGUCAGGGGCCAGGCUCUGUCCCCCUUGUUUCUCCUCCCUGCUUCUGGGUGGAGGACUCCAACCAGGAGGGGGUGGGGUGCCCACGUGGGCACCGUGAGCGGGUAACGGAUCACGGGCUGUGGUGGGCGACGGGCGGCUCUGCUGCAGCAGGGUCACCAGGGCACUAGCGCACGUCUCUGGGUCCUGUGAAGUGGGACUGCACGUGGGUGUGAGCUCUCUGGUGCUUGUGGUACUGGAAGUCACGGAGGAGGUGUCCCCCAGCAGGUGAAGCUCACGUCCCCAGUGGUGGUGAAGCCAGAUCUGCGGUUCAGAUGGGUGUGGCCGAGUGUACGGGAGAAAACCAACGCGUGUGCGUGUAGAUCAGGCGCGCGGGGCUGCUUGAACUCUCCUCUCACGCGCCCUCCCCGGGGACACUCCUCAGCUGCGGAGGCUCCGUAACUCACGUGCAGGGGAUGGAGCAUGCCCAGCCUGAGGCCUGAUUUGCCCUGCGUCCGAGUCUGCUUGGUGCUGCCACAUCAAAUGCCCGAGUCCAGGCGCUUACACAACAGACCUGUCUCCUCGCCUGGAUGCUGUCUGAGAUCAAGGUGUCUGCAGGCUGGUUCCUCCCGGGGCUUCUCUCUGCGUGUGGACCUCCGUCUUCUCCCCAUGUGCUCACGUGGUCGCCCCUGUGCCUGUGUCCUGGUCUCUUCUUGUAGGACCUCAGUCCUGAUGGACCAGGAUCCACCCUCAUAGCGUCGUUUUACCUUGACGGCUCUUGAAAACCCCAUCUCCAAAGACAGUCACAUCCUGGGUUCCUGGGGGUUAGGGAGCCAGCACGUGAGUUUUGUGGGGAAACAGCUGAGCCCACACCAUCCUGCUUAGGACCUGGCUGGGCUUCGUCCCCCCUUCCCUCAAGUUCCAUGGCAGUGGGGGUGGGUGUGAGACAGCCCAGGGGGAGGCCACUCAUCCAGGUCUAGUUGGGGACAGUGCAGGGCCUUAGUUAGGGAGAGGGCAGGGACUGAGUUAGGCAUAGUUCAGGGCAUUUGUUAGGGAUAGAGCUGGGCCUUGGAUAGGGACAGAUUAGGUCUAGUUAGGGAGCCCUCAAAGCCUUACUUAGGGAGAACUUAAGGGCAUUAGUUAGGGACAGUAUUGGGCCUUAUUAGUGACAGCGCCGAGCCUUACUAAGGCUUGUGUAGUUGGGAGCAGCACAAGGCUUUAGUUAGGAACAGGGCAGGCCCUCCUUUGGGAGAGUGCAGCACCACAGUUGGCCAAAGCACAGGGCCUGAGUAAGGGACCUUGCCCAGCCUUAGUUAGGGACAGCUCAGUGCCUUAGUAAGAGACCUUGCCCAGGCUUUGUUAGGAACAGCUCAGGGCUUUAGGGACACUGCAGUGCUUUAGGUAGGGACAGCGCAGGGCCUUAGUUAGGGACACUGAAGUCCAGUUAGGGACACACGGAGGCUGAGGUCAUGAACGAAGGGUGGGAGUGCAGCGGUAUUUUGGUGGGCAGGCUGUGCUCAUCUCUGUGCCCUUUCUCUUGAGAUUUCUCUCCAACGUACUCCUUGCCUUUGCACCUGAGCCUCUUCCUGUCCCCGACUGGCAUCAUGGGGAUCUGACCUAAAGGCGUGUCUUAUUGCUUAAGGCAGGGUGACCUAAAGCUGGCUCUCCUGACUCAGUGGUGCAGCAGGGCAGCUGAGUGUUUUAAGGUCGUGGGAUGUGGCAGGUUGGGGUGGAUAUCCUGGGAGGCUUUGAGAAAUACCCCAUCUGUAGGGCUCUUCACUGUGCUUAGAGGGAGAGGAGGACCGAAAUCGAGCUGACAGGUGCCCAGGAUUAGCGCCCCCCGGGCUGCUGAGAGAGACGGAGGGACUGAGAGUUGCUGUUAGAGCACAUGGCCGCCAGAGGGCGCCAGAGCCCCAGCAGCGCCCCGCCCCCCGCAGCUCCCUGGCCGCACGUCCACGCUCAGAGGUAGGAGGAGAUGGGUCGGUGGGGCCCCAAGGGGGUGCCCAGAGCUUGGGGCUUGGGUACAGGACACCUCUGACCACCUGCCCCCAUUUUCCUCAUCUCGGAGAGGAGACACACUUCUGCCUUCAUAUCUGUGAUCAAUUCUUGUCUGGUGGGGUGGCCCAACGGCUAGAGAGCGUGACAGGCUGGCUGUGGUCUGCGUGCCCUUUGAUGGUUUGGAGGCACAGCUCCGGCCCCGGAAAUACCUGGCGCACAUCUUGCAUGUGCAGUUUUCUAGAAUCAGCUUGCAAGGGCUUUGGGCUGGUGGUCGUGAAUGGAGGGUGUCAAAGGGGUGCUAUGUUGGGGGGUGGGCUACGCUCCCCCCUGUGAACUUUGUUUUGAAAUUGAUCCCCAGCUUCCUUUCUCCCUUCCCUCUUCCCACCUCUUGGUAGGGAAAAAUACCUAAAACCCAGUGACGUGAACAAAGGGUGUGAGGUUACUGAUUUAAAGCUGGGCCCCAGGACUGAAGGGUCCAGAUGGAUUUAACGGCCACUCCUGUGCAUUAAAAAGCAGGGCGGCUGAGGGAUGGCAGGCUGGGGGGUGGUGUCAGGUGGGGCGAGGGCCCUGGCAGACCGAGAAAUCCGGGCCCCGUCUGCAGGGCCUUUCAUGGUGCUCAUGUUAGGGCACCGUUGACUGAACCACUGAAAC